rfam:Daphnia pulex DAPPTscaffold_189_Cont6797, whole genome shotgun sequence.
GUCCUGUUAGCUCAGUUUUUUAGAGCGCCGAGCUAAUAACGUGGAGGUCAAGAGUUCGAUCCUCUAACGGACCA